UCUACGGCUCAACCUGUACUUCAAGUGACUAACCUGCAUACUACGUACAGUCAUACACUAAACAAUUGUUUCUAACUUGUUAAAAGUGUACAUCAUGUUCUUCAUUCUCCUCUUUCUCUCUCCUCUAAAACACUUAAAUUGUUUCCAAUUUAGGGUUUUCGACUUGAAACUCUAAAAUUGUUUCCAAUUUAGGGUUUUUCAAGAUACUGCAUGCUAAAAUCAUUCAUGAAUCAAGCAAGCUAAGCUACUAUGAGCAAGGCCCAAAUCAAAUCACUGGAAAAUGAUGAUUUGAUUUCCAGGUAAUUUAUGGCUUUUCAACCACAAUCUACCAAAUAAUCACAGAGCUAUUAUAUUUAGUGGAGUUAUGUUGCUUGAAAGUCGUUUGAUUGCUGCAGAAAACAUGACAGGGCUCCUCAUUUGCUAACUUGCAAGAAUUCUCAGCUGCUUCGAGUUCUGUUGUCACAUAUCAAAUUCCUGUAUCUCAGGCUAUGAUGAUGUACGUUGCUCCUGCCUCCUGAAAUUUAAAUCUGAGACUUUUGACAUUCUGCAAUCUGGGUUUCUGGGAGCAUUUUCUUAUUCUUUCUUUUCCUUCAGUCUUGGCUAUUUGAUUUUAAUGUUUUAGUGUUCAUGCAUUGUGCUCCUGAACUAUAAUUGAUACAUAUGUGCAAAUGCAAAUGUGUAAAGACUGUUGAUUCUUAAAGAGAUUAGUGUUUGACAGUGCCGGAGACUUGGGUGUAUCAGGGUUGGCCAAGUGCACAAGAUUCGUUGUAUUUUUUUUUUUCUUAGCGGUUGUUUAAAGAACAAAGUGUAUUAUUCUUAUAGCAAAAGUGUAACACAAAGUAUUUAUGUAUAUAUAUGAUAUAUCCAUUCAGCUUACUUA